rnacentral:lncRNA from 1 species
GACUGCACAGCCUCUCUGUUAGGUCAGAAUUAGCUCAUGACAUGGGCAUGCUGAGCCAGAAAGUUGUAAAAGAAAGUCACAGAAAUACACUUGUGAAAAACUAAUAGAAGAUGAUGAUACAGAGAUGGAGAAAUAUGUGUGUUGUUAGUAAGAGAAACAGAGAGACCAAGCACAAAGGAAGAAAGAGACAUCUACAGAGGGAAACCAGAAAGGAAAAAAGAGAAUUCACAAACCCAGACUGUUAAGAAAAAUUUCUGUCUGCAGUGCCAUUUAUUGAAGAUUUUGUGGUUGCUGAUAGUUGUGACAUUUUAUGACAGCAAACCAAGAGACUUCUGGUCAGUAACACCUUAAUUGUUUGGCUCUUACCCAGACAUACCCUCCUCCUACAUAUUGAUGGAGUGACAAAAAUCCGAGUUUCUUCAUGAUCUUUUAUGAAAACAUUUAUUUUAAGAGGCUAACACUUUAAAAAUUGAACUGGUAGAAAUCCAUAGAAUAAACUAUGUUAUCUUUCCUCUGUUCCUUGCUGCUUCAAACAGAAAAUUGUCAAGGGCAAGAAGAAGGAACAAGUGUACUUUUAAGAACAAAGUGUUUUCAUUUGAUGAAGAUUACAAUGCAGGUUAGACUUCUCGGCCACUUUAGGUUAGAGUCCAGUUUCUCUAAAAUGAAGUAUUUACCUCCUCUUGGGAAAUACGAGAAUAAAGUAGGUGGCCAGAGAGUCAUCAUGUGCUUCAAAGUUGUAUGUACCACCCAUCCACCAUCAUCCAUACCAUCGUCAAAGUUAACUCAAUAUCAGAGAUACCAAAGUUAUAAUGAAGAAUCGUGACUAAGGAAGCUGGAAGGAAAACACGUAAGAAAGCACACGUUCCAUCUCCUGGCUUCUGGCCCAUACAUAAUUUCAUUUCAGAAAGCCAAGAUCCCCAUUUCUAGAAGAUCUGUAAGAGAAUUUUAUUCCCAGAGAAAUAUAUUUAAGGAAACAUCCAUGGCCUAAUAAAAUGAACAAAGAACUGGGAAUCAGCAGUUACAAGUUUUGUGGAAUGGGACUAGAAAAUCC